rnacentral:rRNA from 1 species
AAACGCUUGAAGUCAGUCGCGUUCUCUGGGAUUCAGCCUUGCUUCUGCUUGGUGCAUUUCCUAGUCUACGGGCCAGCAUGAAUUUUGACCAGUGGAAAAAGAUUUGGGGAAUGUGGCACCUUCGGGUGUGUUAUAGCCCCUUGUCAGAUACAUUGGUUGGGAUUGAGGUCUUAGUGCACGCUUCGGUUGUGCUUUGAUGCUGGCGUAAUGGCUUUAAACGA